CUACGGGCCGCUCCAGUGGGGAAUAUUGCACAAUGGAGGAAACUCUGAUGCAGCAACGCCGCGUGGAGGAUGACACUUUUCGGAGCGUAAACUCCUUUUAUAUAGGAAGAAGAUGACGGUACUAUAUGAAUAAGCGCCGGCUAACUCCGUGCCAGCAGCCGCGGUAAUACGGAGGGCGCAAGCGUUACUCGGAAUCACUGGGCGUAAAGAGCGUGUAGGCGGAUUAAAAAGUCAGAAGUGAAAUCCUAUAGCUUAACUAUAGAGCUGCUUCUGAAACUCUUAAUCUAGAAUAUGGGAGAGGUAGAUGGAAUUUCAGGUGUAGGGGUAAAAUCCGUAGAGAUCAGAAGGAAUACCGAUUGCGAAGGCGAUCUACUAGAACAUUAUUGACGCCGAGACGCGAAAGCGUGGGGAGCAAACAGGAUUAGAUACCCCCGUAGUC
rnacentral:rRNA from 1 species